UUAGUUGUAUCUCAACAUCUCAAACCAAGAAUAUGGAUUGCAAGCUGAUCCUUCUGGCUGCCCUCGUGGUCGUCGCCAACGCCAGACCUCAGGAUAAGAAACCAGCUGUGUAUCAGUUCUCAUGGGAA